GACGAACGCUGGCGGCGUGCUUAACACAUGCAAGUCGAGCGGAAAGGCCCUUCGGGGUACUCGAGCGGCGAACGGGUGAGUAACACGUGAGUAAUCUGCCCUUCACUCUGGGAUAGCCACCGGAAACGGUGAUUAAUACCGGAUACGACCACCGUGGGCAUCCACUGGUGGUGGAAACUUUUUUGGGUGGGGGAUGUGCUCGCGGCCUAUCAGCUUGUUGGUGGGGUAAUGGCCUACCAAGGCUUCGACGGGUAGCCGGCCUGGGAGGGUGACCGGCCACACUGGGAGUGAGACACGGCCCAGACUCCUACGGGAGGCAGCAGUGGGGAAUAUUGGACAAUGGGCGGAAGCCUGAUCCAGCAACGCCGCGUGAGGGAUGACGGCCUUCGGGUUGUAAACCUCUUUCAGCACCGACGAAGCGCAAGUGACGGUAGGUGCAGAAGAAGGACCGGCCAACUACGUGCCAGCAGCCGCCGCCGUAA
rnacentral:rRNA from 1 species